GAUGCGUCCAUGAAUUUUUUAAAACUAAAAAUGGGACCUGGAUAAAGUGAACAUCUUAGGGCCGUAAUGACCUCCAGACCUUUUGCAGAAGGUUGGAAUAAUAAGAUUAGCAUAUUCGUAGUCUGGAAAAUGCUAUACGAAGAAUGUAAAACAUGAAACUACUUGUGGACCAAAUGAAAAACUGUGGAGCAGAUUAUGAUGCAGUUAGACCUUGCUUGAAUGACUUUGACCCACAAAAGCAGGUAAAUGUUCCCUUGGACUGAGGCUUUUGGUUGCAUUGCAAGGUUCCAUCACGGGCUCUAUUACAUUUAACAUUUUUAGUAAUUAUUUGGAUGGAAAAUCA
rnacentral:lncRNA from 1 species